rnacentral:rRNA from 1 species
CCUACGGGAGGCUGCAGUGAGGAAUAUUGGUCAAUGGACGAGAGUCUGAACCAGCCAAGUAGCGUGAAGGAUGACUGCCCUAUGGGUUGUAAACUUCUUUUAUAUGGGAAUAAAACGUUCCACGUGUGGGAUUUUGUAUGUACCAUAUGAAUAAGGAUCGGCUAACUCCGUGCCAGCAGCCGCGGUAAUACGGAGGAUCCGAGCGUUAUCCGGAUUUAUUGGGUUUAAAGGGAGCGUAGGUGGAUUGUUAAGUCAGUUGUGAAAGUUUGCGGCUCAACCGUAAAAUUGCAGUUGAAACUGGCAGUCUUGAGUACAGUAGAGGUGAGCGGAAUUCGUGGUGUAGCGGUGAAAUGCUUAGAUAUCACGAAGAACUCCGAUUGCGAAGGCAGUUCACUGGACUGCAACUGACACUGAGGCUCGAAAGUGUGGGUAUCAAACAGGAUUAGAUACCCUGGUAGUC